GGGGAUGAACGGCUUCGACGGGGCAGGAGGACCUGGAACUGCAAGCCGUAGAGCGUCGACUACGUUAAAAAGGCGCAACACCUAUAAGUGCCAAAAACACUGGCAAGGUCUUCAACUUUGGGUUCGCCAGCGCCGCUCCCGCGGCCAUGGCUGCCUAAAUAGACCGACCUGACCUCCUCGGAGGUCACGGCCCGUUCCGGUGGGGCCAGCAGGCCGGACGGUAGCCGACAUAAACUGUGAGCUGCGGCGACCUGACGCCGAUACGGUCGCCUAAGAUGAUCGGCUAGCCGGGGAAGUGUCCCGCGUCACUCCGGGGCCCGCCGGCGAAACACCCGAAUGAGUGACUAAGCUUGUAGACGUUCCAGGACGAAUGUCUCGGACGCGGGUUCGAUUCCCGCCAUCUCCACCU
rnacentral:tmRNA from 1 species